CACAGGAACCAAACUAGUUGUUUCCAACAUACCAGCAAAACUUGAUUCCACCAAGAUUCAGGCCCUGCUUCCUUCUACUGAAAAACAUGGGAAAGUAUCAUACAUGUGCUUCAUUCAGGAUUUUUACCCAAAUGUUAUUAAGGUGACUUGGGAAGAUGAGAAGAAGAAGAAUGCAGAGAAAAAUGCAGUACAUGAGGAAAUUUGGCCCCCUGGUGACAAUCAACAGUCAUACUCAUUGAGCAGCUGGCUGACCGUAGAUAAAAAUAGCAACAAGAAUUAUCGCUGCAAAUAUCAACAUGAAAUCAAAGAAGAUUAUGUUCCUAUGGAAUCUCCAGCAGACACCUUUUCAGACACAACUGUAAUCCCUCAAACCACCACAAGUUGUAUCAAGUUUGCUGAGAAUAACACCACGCUUUCCACAGAUACUAUGGACAGUUACAUACACAGGACAGCGUAUUUCAUAUAUAUUGUCCUACUCCUGAAAAGCACCAUGUACUACGUCAUCGUACUCUUCUUCAUAUACAGGAUGCAAAGUCCAAUCAAGCACCAGGGAAAGAAACCUUAAACUUCUCCAUACACCUUCCAACAUCAGCAUUUGUGUCUGAAAUUUACUUUGCUUUGCCAUAAGACUGAUCAUAUGAAACUAUGGUGACCAGAUAGCAAGUGUGAAAAAUCGGGAUGGGGAUGGGGAGUAAUGGGCGUCUAUAUAAGGAAAAAAACCCAAAUAUUGGGAUUGUUCCUAUAAAAUCGGGACAUCUGGUCACCCACUUUGGAACACCGUGCUCCAAAUAUUAAGACAUGCAUUUCAAUUUGAUUUUGUUGGCUAUUUCUCUAAUUAGCACAGAUGGCUUCUUCUGCUUGAGAGCAAACAGUUUUAUAUGUGACCAUAUUUCCUAUUAUAUUAUUUUAAUUUUGUAACUGUGGAACUUCAAGGGCUGAGGCUACACUCCUUGAUUUCAAUGGGAAUUUUGCAGAAUUUUGUAGUGCAGAAUCAGUCUCUUAGGCUCUUAUCCCGCAAAAACCUUGUGCACACCGGGUACUUUUUGGAUGUGGAUACGCCAACUGCGUUCAGUGAAAUCAACGGGAAAAACUGGUCCCAUAAAUAUUUGCAGGGGUGGAGUACUAAUCUGUAAUUUUAAAUGAUUUGUCAUUUCAUUUCUACUAGUUACAUUUAUUUGCUUUAUAAAACAAAAACAGGCUUCUGAAAAAUGGCUAAUUUUUUUUA